AUUGAGGACUAAAACCCCUCCAAUUUGUGUUUUCAGAGUUUUAAAUUGAUUUUUAAAGUCAUUUUUGAACUUCACAACUCCCUUUUUCCUUAUCUUCCAGCACUUUCCUUUUCAAACACCAGGUGGCAGAUGGAACCACUUUUUUAGAGCACGCCCCCGACACCGCCCUACCGGAAGCUGUCAUAUAAUGGAAAUCUCCAUGGCCACGCCUAGAGUUCAGCACCCCAGAUGCGGACAGCGACACCGCCCAGUUGAGUCCCAUGACUCGCUGCGGAGAUUUUCACCUGACAAAGGAACCGGCCAAUCUCAACGCCGCGUGAUCGACCAAUUUACAAUGCCAGAGGAGGAAUCAACACUCUGGCUUCCUACUCAUCUUGAAGACAGAUUCCCCUUCAGAACACUUGAUUCUUAGAAGACCAGAACAUUGGAAUGAUAGUGGAACAGGCUGCCCUUUCCUCCCAUGGUGGUUGUCUGGAGCUGAUGAGGAGACAGAUAACACUUAGGCUGCAGAGAAGAAGAAGAAAGACAUGCCCUCAGGGCUCCCUGACCCCUGAGGAGAGGAAUUUGAUGGAGACAUUCCAUUUCCUAUUUCGGGCGGAGUGUUCCAAGGUCUCUCACUGUCUGCAUAAUGUCUGGCUGUAGGUCUCUUUAUUGUUCCUAUCUCCUGCAGAAGGAAGCUGCUCUGUUGAUAGCUGAGCAAGGUACUGAACUAUGACUAACAGAAUAUCAUUAGAA